GUUGUAACGUGAGGACCAGGGGAGGCUUUUCUUACUGCCUCAGAACUAUCAUGGAAGAGAUCAGGGGAAAGAGAGAGAAUGAAGCCAAAUUCCAUGUCAGAGUUUUCCCUACUCAGAAAGACUGAAGUAACCAACCACACAGGAUAAUCAAGCCUCCAUUGGUAGGAUGCGUUUUGACUGAGAAACCAUGAAUUAGUGCUCUGGGGUAAGGUGUAGGUUCUCCUGAGGUUGGAUAGGGUGGGCAGGGC
rnacentral:lncRNA from 1 species